rnacentral:rRNA from 1 species
GGAACUUACCGAAUGGCUCUUGUGAUACACUCUCAAUCGAGUCGAGUUGUUUGGGAAUUGCAGCUCAAAAUGGGUGGUAAAUUCCAUCUAAAGCUAAAUAUUGCGCGAGAGACUCGAUAGCGAACAAGUACCGUGAGGGAAAGAUGAAAAGCACUUUGGAAAGAGAGUGAAACAGUACGUGAAAUUGUUGAAAGGGAAGCGUUUGAAGUCAGUCACGUUUGUUUGGGGUUCAGCCUGGCUUUUGCCUGGUGUAUUUCCUUUCCAACGGGUCAGCAUCAGUUUCGACCGAGGGAAAAAGACAUUGGGAAUGUGGCUGUCUUCGGGCAGUGUUAUAGCCUGGUGUUGUAUGUCUCGGUUGGGACUGAGGAACGCAGCGCGCCAUAAAUGGCCGGGGGUCGCUCCUCUCGACACGCG